UCCUGCCCACCGCUCAGGCCCUCUACACUGGGGACAUACUGUUUGAAAAAAGGACUCACGGGUCAGACCUUAAAGAAAGAUUAACAAAUAACUCAAAGAAUAAAAGGGAAGGAAAGGAAGAAAUUGAAGAACUUCUACUCAGAAGCGUAAACCAGCCACUUGGGCGGGGAUGAGUAGCAGACUUAGACAAAGACUGUAACUCUUACUGCUCUGAUACCAAGAAGAAGGAUGAACAUAUUAGAG
rnacentral:lncRNA from 1 species